rnacentral:rRNA from 1 species
UGGGCGAAAGCCUGACGGAGCAACGCCGCGUGAGGGACGAAGGCCUCUGGGCUGUAAACCUCUUUUCUCAAGGAAGAAGAUAUGACGGUACUUGAGGAAUAAGCCACGGCUAAUUCCGUGCCAGCAGCCGCGGUAAUACGGGAGUGGCAAGCGUUAUCCGGAAUUAUUGGGCGUAAAGCGUCCGCAGGCGGCCUUUCAAGUCUGCUGUUAAAGCGUGGAGCUUAACUCCAUUAUGGCAGUGGAAACUGAUCGGCUUGAGUAUGGUAGGGGCAGAGGGAAUUCCCGGUGUAGCGGUGAAAUGCGUAGAUAUCGGGAAGAACACCAGUGGCGAAGGCGCUCUGCUGGGCCAUUACUGACGCUCAUGGACGAAAGCCAGGGGAGCGAAAG